UACGAAGGGGGCUAGCGUUGUUCGGAAUUACUGGGAGUAAAGCGUGCGCAGGCGGCUUCUCAAGUCAGGGGUGAAAGCCCAGAGCUCAACUCUGGAAUUGCCUUUGAGACUGAGUGGCUUGAGUACGAGAGAGGUGAGUGGAAUUCCCAGUGUAGAGGUGAAAUUCGUAGAUAUUGGGAAGAACACCGGUGGCGAAGGCGGCUCACUGGCUCGUAACUGACGCUCAUGCACGACAGCGUGGGGAUCAAACAGG
rnacentral:rRNA from 1 species